rnacentral:rRNA from 1 species
GAUGAACGCUGGCGGCGUGCCUAAUACAUGCAAGUCGAGCGGACGGACGAGAAGCUUGCUUCUCUGAUGUUAGCGGCGGACGUGUGAGUAACACGUGGAUAACCUACCUAUAAGACUGGUAUAACUUCGGGAAACCGGAGCUAAUACCGGAUGAGAUUUUGAACCGCAUGGUUCAAAGGUGAAAGUCGGUCUUGCUGUCACGUAUAGAUGGAUCUGCGCUUCAUUAGCUAGUUGUUGAGGUAACGGCUUACCACGGCAACGAUGCCUAGCCGACCUGAUAGGGUGAUCGGCCACACUGGAACUGAGACACGGUCCAGACGCCUACGGGAGGCAGCAGUAGGGAAUCUUCCGCAGUGGGCGAAAGCCUGACGGAGCAACGCCGCGUGAGUGAUGAAGGUCUUCGGAUCGUAAUACUCUGUUAUUAGGGAAGAACAUAUGUGUAAGUAAAUGUGCACAUCUUGACGGUAACUAAUCAGAAAGCAACGGCUAACUACGUG